UCCCGGAUCGUCUAGCUGGUAGGACACGAGAUUUUGACUCUCGCAACGCGGGUUCGAGGCCUGCUCUGGGAACCA
rnacentral:tRNA from 1 species